rnacentral:lncRNA from 1 species
AAGUUUUAGGGGCAAAAUGGGAAUUUAAUAAUAUUAAACAAAGGGUGAAUAGUGUCUUGAUGUGAUUUAAUUGGAGGGUUUGAGCUGGCUUUUGGAAUGAAACCGAGAGAAAGAGGGAGGGGGUUCUCAGGCGUGAAACAGACGAAAGAAAGAAAGAAAAAGAGAAGAAGAAGAAGAAGAAAGAAGAAGAGGAAGGAGAUUCAAGGAGGAAAGGGAUCCCGGUUGCACUUCCAGCUGAAGGGAAAAACGUAGAUCUCCUUCCCCUCUACGCAAGGACCUCGAUUUCCAAAAAGAAAAAGGUAAAUAUCCAUCCCUAUCUAGUCUUUUGAUGACAUUAGGCUAUACAAAGGGUGGAUAUAGUCUAGAGGGGUCGGAUAAGGGUUGUAGAGGUGGUUAAAAGAAGAAGAAUCGGAUUUUGACAAAUUUUUCCGGCACUACGGAAAAA